GUGGAUUAGAUACCCUGGUAGUCCACGCUGUAAACGAUGACAACUAGCCGUCGGGUCGCUUAGCGAUUUGGUGGCGCAGCUAACGCGUUAAGUUGUCCGCCUGGGAAGUACGGCCGCAAGGUUGAAACUCAAAUGAAUUGACGGGGGCCCGCACAAGCGGUGGAGCAUGUGGUUUAAUUCGAUGCAACGCGAAGAACCUUACCUGGCCUUGACAUGUCCGGAAUCCUGCAGAGAUGCGGGAGUACCUUCGGGGAUCGGAACACAGGUGCUGCAUGGCCGUCGCCAACU
rnacentral:rRNA from 1 species